UGGAGAGUUUGAUCCUGGCUCAGAUUGAACGCUGGCGGCAGGCCUAACACAUGCAAGUCGAACGGUAACAGGAAGCAGCUUGCUGCUUCGCUGACGAGUGGCGGACGGGUGAGUAAUGUCUGGGAAACUGCCUGAUGGAGGGGGAUAACUACUGGAAACGGUAGCUAAUACCGCAUAACGUCGCAAGACCAAAGAGGGGGACCUUCGGGCCUCUUGCCAUCAGAUGUGCCCAGAUGGGAUUAGCUAGUAGGUGGGGUAACGGCUCACCUAGGCGACGAUCCCUAGCUGGUCUGAGAGGAUGACCAGCCACACUGGAACUGAGACACGGUCCAGACUCCUACGGGAGGCAGCAGUGGGGAAUAUUGCACAAUGGGCGCAAGCCUGAUGCAGCCAUGCCGCGUGUAUGAAGAAGGCCUUCGGGUUGUAAAGUACUUUCAGCGGGGAGGAAGGCGAUGUGGUUAAUAACCGCGUCGAUUGACGUUACCCGCAGAAGAAGCACCGGCUAACUCCGUGCCAGCAGCCGCGGUA
rnacentral:rRNA from 1 species